rnacentral:rRNA from 1 species
UACGUAGGGUGCAAGCGUUGUCCGGAAUUAUUGGGCGUAAAGAGCUCGUAGGCGGUUUGUUGCGUCGGCUGUGAAAUCCCGAGGCUCAACCUCGGGUCUGCAGUCGAUACGAGCAAACUAGAGUGUUGCAGGGGAGACUGGAAUUCCUGGUGUAGCGGUGAAAUGACGCAGAUAUCAGGAGGAACACCGGUGGCGAAGGCGGGUCUCUGGGCAACAACUGAC